rnacentral:hammerhead_ribozyme from 1 species
AUCCAUCUGACGAGUCCCAAAUAGAGGACGAAAUGCGCAUCCUGGUGGAU